GCGGUAAUACGGAGGGUGCAAGCGUUAAUCGGAAUUACUGGGCGUAAAGCGCACGCAGGCGGUCUGUCAAGUCGGAUGUGAAAUCCCCGGGCUCAACCUGGGAACUGCAUCCGAAACUGGCAGGCUAGAGUCUUGUAGAGGGGGGUAGAAUUCCAGGUGUAGCGGUGAAAUGCGUAGAGAUCUGGAGGAAUACCGGUGGCGAAGGCGGCCCCCUGGACAAAGACUGACGCUCAGGUGCGAAAGCGUGGGGAGCAAACAGGAUUA
rnacentral:rRNA from 1 species